rnacentral:rRNA from 1 species
ACUGCUCAGUAACACGUAGUCAACAUGCCCAGGGGACGUGGAUAACCUCGGGAAACUGAGGAUAAACCGCGAUAGGUCAUCACUUCUGGAAUGGGUAAUGACUUAAAUCUAUAUGGCCCCUGGAUUGGACUGCGGCCGAUCAGGCUGUUGGUGAGGUAAUGGCCCACCAAACCUGUAACCGGUACGGGCUCUGAGAGGAGGAGCCCGGAGAUGGGCACUGAGACAAGGGCCCAGGCCCUAUGGGGCGCAGCAGGCGCGAAACCUCUGCAAUAGGCGAAAGCUUGACAGGGUUACUCUGAGUGAUUUCCGUUAAGGAGAUCUUUUGGCACCUCUAAAAAUGGUGCAGAAUAAGGGGUGGGCAAGUCUGGUGUCAGCCGCCGCGGUAAUACCAGCACCCCGAGUGGUCGGGACGUUUAUUGGGCCUAAAGCAUCCGUAGCCGGUUCUACAAGUCUUCCGUUAAAUCCACCUGCUUAACAGAUGGGCUGCGGAAGAUACUAUAGAGCUAGGAGGCGGGAGAGGCAAGCGGUACUCGAUGGGUAGGGGUAAAAUCCGUUGAUCCAUUGAAGACCACCAGUGGCGAAGGCGGCUUGCCAGAACGCGCUCGACGGUGAGGGAUGAAAGCUGGGGGAGCAAACCGGAUUAGAUACCCGGGUAGUCCCAGCUGUAAACGAUGCAGACUCGGUGAUGAGUUGGCUUAUUGCUAACUCAGUGCCGCAGGGAAGCCGUUAAGUUUGCCGCCUGGGGAGUACGGUCGCAAGACUGAAACUUAAAGGAAUUGGCGGGGGAG